rnacentral:rRNA from 1 species
GACGAACGCUGGCGGCGUGCUUAACACAUGCAAGUCGAACGAACUUUCAUCCUUCGGGUUGAAAGUGAGUGGCGAACGGGUGAGUAACACGUGAGCAACCUGCCCUUGACACUGGAAUAACAGUUGGAAACAGCUGCUAAUACCGGAUAUGACCUCUGACGACAUCGUCUGGAGGUGGAAAGCUCCGGCGGUCAAGGAUGGGCUCGCGGCCUAUCAGCUUGUUGGUGAGGUAACGGCUCACCAAGGCUUCGACGGGUAGCCGGCCUGAGAGGGCGACCGGCCACACUGGGACUGAGAUACGGCCCAGACUCCUACGGGAGGCUG